rnacentral:rRNA from 1 species
UACAGAGGGUGCGAGCGUUGUUCGGAAUUAUUGGGCGUAAAGGGCGCGUAGGCGGUGCGGUAAGUCACCUGUGAAAUCUCCUGGCUCAACUGGGAGCUUGCAGGCGAAACUGCCGUGCUGGAGUGUGGGAGAGGUGCGUGGAAUUCCUGGUGUAGCGGUGAAAUGCGUAGAUAUCAGGAGGAACACCUGUGGCGAAAGCGGCUCACUGGACCACAACUGACGCUGAUGCGCGAAAGCUAGGGGAGCAAACAGG